rnacentral:rRNA from 1 species
AGUGAACGCUGGCGGUAGGCCUAACACAUGCAAGUCGAACGGCAGCACAGUAAGAGCUUGCUCUUACGGGUGGCGAGUGGCGGACGGGUGAGGAAUACAUCGGAAUCUACUUUUUCGUGGGGGAUAACGUAGGGAAACUUACGCUAAUACCGCAUACGACCUACGGGUGAAAGCAGGGGAUCUUCGGACCUUGCGCGAUUGAAUGAGCUGAUGUCGGAUUAGCUAGUUGGCGGGGUAAAGGCCCACCAAGGCGACGAUCCGUAGCUGGUCUGAGAGGAUGAUCAGCCACACUGGAACUGAGACACGGUCCAGACUCCGACGGGAGGCAGCAGUGGGGAAUAUUGGACAAUGGGCGCAAGCCUGAUCCAGCCAUACCGCGUGGGUGAAGAAGGCCUUCGGGUUGUAAAGCCCUUUUGUUGGGAAAGAAAAGCAGCAGGUUAAUACCCCGCUGUUCUGACGGUACCCAAAGAAUAAGCACCGGCUAACUUCGU